rnacentral:rRNA from 1 species
UACAGAGGUCCCAAGCGUUGUUCGGAUUCAUUGGGCGUAAAGGGCGCGUAGGUGGUUCGGUAAGUCGGAUGUGAAAUCUCCAAGCUUAACUUGGAAAUGGCAUCGGAAACUACCGGGCUAGAGUCUAGGAGGGGGGAGUGGAAUUCUUGGUGUAGCAGUGAAAUGCGUAGAUAUCAGGAGGAACACCGGUGGCGAAGGCGGCUUUCUGGGCCUUACCUGACGCUGGAGGAGCGAAAAGCUGGGGGGAGCGAACAGG